ACGGAAGACUGACGACAACAGGACCGGAUCAAGGUCAGAGACACAGGUAUGCCAACUGAAGAGCCCCGCCUCCUCAUGUUAGAGCCCCGCCUCCUCAUGUUAGAGCCCAGUCUCCUGGUGUUAAAGCCACAACCCCUUAUAAAAGAAGCCCCGCCUCCUGAUGCCUGAUCCCCGCCUACUCACAUUAAACCAAGUCUCAUCAUGUCAUAGCCCCGCCCCCUCAUGUUAGAGCCCCACCUUCUAACGUCAGAGACCAGCCGCCUGUGAUUGAAACCCGCCUUCUCACAUUAAACAAGGUCUCCCAAUGUAAAGCCCCGCCCCCUUCUGUUUUAGGCCCAUCUGCACUUUUUGGAGCCUAGUUUCCUCAAGUGAUGGCCACGCCCCCUCACAUAACAGCCCGGAUUUCUCAUGAUGUGGAUCCACCUCUCAUGUUAGAGCCCCGCCUCCUACUGUGAAAGUCCCGCCCCCGACUGUAAGAGCCCCGUGUUCUUAAAUUAAACAUAGUGUACCCAUGUCAUAGCCCCGCCCCCUUAUGUUAGAGCCUUGCCUCCUCAUGCUAGAUCCCCACCUCUUCACAUUAAACCCAGUUUCCUCAUGCUAUAGCCCCACCCCUUUUGUUGGAUCCCCACCUCUUCAUUGAGUAGCCACGCCUCCUCACUUCAUUACCCAACCUCCAGAUGUAAUAGCCCCGCCUCCUCACAUUUAACCCCGUCUCCUCAUGUCAUAGUCCCAGCCAACCUUCUCAUAAUCUAGCCCCACCCUCCUAUGAUAGAGCCCCGCCUCCUCAUGUCAAAGCCCCGCCUCCUCCUCUUGAGUAGGCGUGUUUACACUAAAAGUUUUUUAGGGCGUGUCCCUCAGGUUAAACUCUUAAAGACACCUGUGUGGACAGUUUUAAAGAGUAUAACCCCGCCCCCAAACUGUUUCUCAGAGGAGCUUUAAAGUCGUUUAUCGACUGGUUGCUGUAACCUUUGACCCCUGCGCUCAUGUUCUGGUCACACAGACAGGAUCUCCUCCUCCUCCUCCUCCUCACCUCCACCCUUCCUCCGGAGUUUCUUCGCCGUUAAACCUCCUCUAACGAUAACGGCGCCGUCAGCUGAGAUGAUUCAAGUGUAACAUGUAAAUUGGAGCGCUGAUGUCACACGCCUCUCUACUCGCAAUUUGGAGGAAAUUAAAGAGGAAAAAUUUUCUGCACUUUUACCAUCAGAAAGUCCUCGAAAACUCCUCCAACCCGCCGCAAUCUCUGUCAAAUCACUGCACUACUUCUGCUGCAUGAAAUCAGUCUGAUUAAUUAAGUCUGCCGACAGCUUCGCCGCCGAUGUUCAGUUUGGCGAACAGAAACACGGCGCUGCGAGAGGGAGGAGGAGGAAUCUGGUGUUUACAGUGAAAACAUCUGUGUCUGUGGGCAGGUGAGGCAGAAAUAAUCAGCAGACAGAAUAAAUAAAUUAAAAAAAACACUUUUUUAUUGUUUGGAAGUUUGAGUUUCAGGUUUUUUCAGCCGUCGGAUCAGACGCCGAAGAUCGAAGAGAGAGAGGAGGAAGGAGCGUGAGUGAUCUGGUUUUUAAGAUCUUUGAUUUUGUGACUUUAACACAGAGAUAAAUAUAUAGAUUCUGCAGCAUUUCUACUUAAGUAAUGUCAAAUAAAAUCAGUUUUUACUGUUUUAACCUCCCAGACUCUAUAAUAACUGUAUCUAGUUUAUGUGAAGUCACAUGUUUCGUUCCAGUUUUAAAGCCGAUCUGCAGCAGACGCCACAUUUUUAUUAGUUUAUUUAAAGUUUCUUAUUUUUGCUGUUAUUAUAUUAUUAUACUAACCUUUAGAUAUAUUAGUUAUACUGACCUGACCUGACAAGAGGCCAGCCGUGCGUCUUAUUGGCUAAUCUUCAAAUUUAAAAUCUUUAAAACAAGCUUGUCAUGAAAAACUAAAACACAAAUUAUGGUCAGAAAAGUCAGAUUUUUUGGAGCUUAAAUGUUUAUUUUACUUACGACUGAAAACCAAAAUCAAAAUGUCCUUAAAAUUUAACAAAUAUAUUUAUUUUUUAUCUCGUUUGAUACAUUUGAUGUUUUUGGAAACUGAUAAACAACAAGAGGACAUUUUGAUCAUUUAUCGAACUGUAUUCAGGUGUUUUUUUAGUCAUUAGUUGAUCAUAUUGAUUUGAUAAAAGUAUGUAUCAAAUAUAAUAAAAAAGGCAUUAAAAGGUUUUAAACUGGACCUCUUUUGGCUGAGUGUGUAUGUGGUUCUUGUUGUUUCUGCAGCCAGCCUCUAGUGGACACUCUGGGAACUGCAGGUUUAAGCUCUUCUGUUUCGAGACACUUUGGCUGUGUCCAAAAUGAAUCUCUAACUCCCAUAUGUGGUUUCUCUAUAAAUCUGACGAUGUCUAAGAUCCACUUCGGACACAGCCUUGGUCUUUACAAAAAAAAUGAAAAUGGAGGUUUUAUAAGUCUGAUCCGGGUCAUGUGACGUACUGACGGUUGUUGCUUUCAUGAAUUUUGUAUUUUCUGUUUUUGUGUUUAUUUUUUCAGAGUAAAACUUUGUGAAGUUAAAACUCUUAAAGAUUUACGACACAGAUUUAUUCACACGUUUAUUUAUCCUCAUAAAGAUGUUUCUCCUCUUACUCUGAUGUUAAAGUUUCACCUUUUAGAGCCUUACAUACAUGUACAGAUAUUUCUUUAUCUGCUGACUCCAAGUCUCUCUUCUUCUGAUUUGACGUCUUUACUUCUCAGUAUUUUUAUGUUGCAGUAGAACUUUACUGGUCGAGUAUUUCUGCCCCUCUUUGACUUUGUAAAUCACAAUAAUCAGAGUAUUUUUCUUUACCUGAUUUCUUCUUACAAACAGCUGCUGAAAAUCCUGUUUUUCUUUAUUAAACACAAACACACUUUCUUUUGUUUUCGUUGUUUUUAUUGGAUCAGAAAAACCUCCUGUUACUAAAUCAGACAGACGGAGUUUCAGUCGGAGCGACUCCAUCAGGCCUUCAGGGUUUCUCUGUGUGUGUGAAAGCAGAGGCCCAAACACACACACACACACACACACACACACGAAGGUCCUGGACACCUACUGCCCUCUAGAGGCCGAUGAGUGACGGGUCGGUCAGUCAGGACUUACAGGAACCUUCAUCCUCACCUGAGUCCGAACAGACUCAGAGGUUUGGUUCAGAGUUUUUACAGGAUCUGGAUCAGCUGACAGAGAAAAACAAAAAGAUGUUUUCAGGAGUUUUCAGGAGUUUUCAGGUGUUUUCAGGUGUUUUCAGGUGUUUUCAGGUGUUUUCAGGUUUGUCCGACAGUAAAGAUAAAAACACUCAAACAGAGAAAAAAGAGCCGACCCUGAAAGUCCAUUUUGAACAGACGGGUCAUUAAAUUAAAAGACUCAUUACCUUCACGUAUCUUUAAAGUCGUUAUUCCAACCAUCAGUGACUCUGAUUUCUCGUCUGCAUUAUUUUCACUCUUUAACACCUUUUCUCUAAAUUCCUCUCGUUCUUCAUUUUUCAGGUUUGUGGCAGAAACUUAAAUCAAGUUUUCGGUGUCGUCACAUUUACAGGGUUUCAGAUUAAAAUGAUCUGUAUCAGCUCAGACUGAUUUAUUUUACACCAAAGAAACAAAAACAAACGUCUUUUUUUUAAGUAUAGUCGGUACAAUCAAACCCACCGGAGACUGUACAGACCACCGUACUCUCAAAUCACUCCUAAAAACACCUUUUUAAAUUGUUUUUGAAACCUGUAAACUUUUAUUGUCUUUUCAUAUUGAAUCUUUUUUAACCUUUUUCAUUGUUGGUUUUAUUUCCAGAAAUUUUCUGUAUUUUUUUUGUUUUUUAUUUUAUUUUAUUUUUUUAUUUUCUUUGUAUGGCGUUUUUGAGCUCUUGUAAAAGUGCGUUAUAAUUAAAAUUUAUUAUUUAUUUUAUUAUUACAAUUUAGUGAAUAUAAUUUACUUUGUAAAGUUUAAGGACAAUUAAAUAUAGAAAAUAAACUACAAUGAAGCUCCUGCACUUUGAGUAUAUUAUCCCACAAUGCAAUGC